rnacentral:tRNA from 1 species
GGGGUUGUGGCUCAGUGGUAGAGUGCUUGCCUAGUAAGUGUGAGGCCCUAGGUUUGAUCCUCAGCACCA